AUGAACGCUGGCGGCGUGCCUAAUACCUGCAAGUCGAGCGAACAGACGAGGAGAUUGCUCCUCUGACGUUAGCGGCGGACGGGUGAGUAACACGUGGAUAACCUACCUAUAAGACUGGGAUAACUUCGGGAAACCGGAGCUAAUACCGGAUAAUAUAUUGAACCGCAUGGUUCAAUAGUGAAAGACGGUUUUGCUGUCACUUAUAGAUGGAUCCGCGCCGCAUUAGCUAGUUGGUAAGGUAACGGCUUACCAAGGCAACGAUGCGUAGCCGACCUGAGAGGGUGAUCGGCCACACUGGAACUGAGACACGGUCCAGACUCCUACGGGAGGCAGCAGUAGGGAAUCUUCCGCAAUGGGCGAAAGCCUGACGGAGCAACGCCGCGUGAGUGAUGAAGGUCUUCGGAUCGUAAAACUCUGUUAUUAGGGAAGAACAAAUGUGUAAGUAACUAUGCACGUCUUGACGGUACCUAAUCAGAAAGCCACGGCUAACUACGUG
rnacentral:rRNA from 1 species